rnacentral:lncRNA from 1 species
GGGCAAUGUAACGGAUUUCGGCCUCGUUGUUCAACAGUUUGAGUCCCCUCCCCCUUUUCACUUUUUAUCAGAUUAAAUCUCUGUUUAACCGUAUUGGAUACUUAUAAAUUUUUGAAUAUGUUUCUUUUUAUUAGAAUAAGUUAUCUUAGAUAUUUAUUAUGAACAGUAACUUGAGCAAAGAUAAAAAUAACGUCAAGUCCCACC